GGCCAUAUCACACUGAAUCACUGGUUCUCAUGCUAUCAACAAAGUUAAGCAAUCUUGAGCCUGGUCAGCCCCUAGAUGGAUGACCACUUGGGAAUACCAAGUGUUGUAA